rnacentral:rRNA from 1 species
AUGAUGGAGUACAGCAGGGAGGCCGAGCAGGCGCCGGAGAUGCGCAAGCCGCCGCCGCCGCUCACCCAUGAGGACAACCGCCGCUUCCUCGAGAUGCUCCGCGAGAAGAAGGAAAGGCUGGGGGUCGGCGUGGAGAAGGUGGAGGUGCGGUUCGAGGAGCUCACCGUGGAGGCCGACGUGCCCGUGGGCCGCCGCACGCUGCCAACGCUGUUCAACUGCGCCGUCAACGCUGCCCAGGAAUUAGCAACAUAUUCACACAUGUGUACUGCAAGGAAAAAACCCAUCAAAAUUAUAAAUGGAGCGAGCGGGACAAUUAGUCCAUCACGGAUGACACUUCUUCUAGGAGCACCUGGUUCUGGGAAAACAACUUUUUUAAAAGCACUUGCAGGGAAGUUGGAUUCUUCUUUGAAGCUCAAAGGAAAGGUUAUGUACAAUGGGCAAGAAGUGAAUUUCUCAACACCUCAAUAUAUGCAUGCUUAUAUUAGCCAAUAUGAUCUUCACAAUUCUGAGAUGACCGUCAGGGAGACGAUUGAUUUCUCAUCCAAGAUGUUGGGAACUAAUAAUGAAUUUGGGAUGCUAGGAGAAGGUUUAAUAAAGAAACAUGGUCACAUCAACAAAGUGGACCAAGAUCUUGACUUAUUUAUGAAGACUAUCACCUUCGGAGAAGGAAGCAAUCUUAUAACAAACUAUAUUAUCAAGAUACUUGGUUUGUCUGAUUGUGCUGAUACCCUAGUGGGGGAUGAGUUGAGAAGAGGCAUAUCAGGAGGACAAAAGAAAAGAGCCACAAUCGGAGAGAUGCUAGUUGGUCUGGCACGAUGCUUCUUUAUGGAUGAUAUAUCAACAGGCCUGGAUAGCUCAACCACAUAUGAGAUUUUAAAAUUUGUCCAACAAAUGACUCAUAUGAUGGAUCUCACCGUGGUUAUUUCAUUGCUGCAACCACCUCCCGAGACAUUGGAAUUAUUUGAUGACAUUAUCCUAUUAUGCGAGGGUCAAAUUGUGUAUCAUGGUCCUCGAGAAAAUGCUAUCAAUUUUUUUGGAACAAUGGGAUUCAAAUGCCCGGACAGGAAGAAUGUAGCUGAUUUCCUUCAAGAGGUGACUUCUAAGAUGGAUCAAAAGCAAUAUUGGACUGAUGAGGAAAAUAAGUAUCAAUACUGGCCAAUAGAAAAGUUUGCAGAUUCCUUUCAUUCAUCUUAUCUCCCUCGACUUGUAGAAGAUAACCUCUACAUGCCAAACAAUAUGGGAAAACACAAUGAGAUUAAAACAAAUGCAACUCGGAGUAUCUCCAGAUGGAAUAUUUUCAAAGCAUGCUUUUCAAGGGAAGUACUACUUCUCAAAAGGAACUCCCCACUUCAUAUAUUCAAGACUGUACAGAUAGUUAUUCUGGCUUUUGUGAUUUCAACGGUUUUCCUUCGAACAAAUAUGAACCAUAAAAAUGUACUUGACGCCAACAAGUACAUGGGGUCCCUAUUUAUAGCUAUUGUUAUAGUAAAUAUUAAUGGCAUGACUGAGAUUGCAAUGACAAUAAAGCGACUCCCCACUUUCUACAAGCAAAGGGAGUUACUAGCGUUGCCGGGAUGGGCACUUGUUUUUUCAAUUUUUCUCAUCAACAUCCCAAUGUCACUAGUAGAGACAUGUCUUUGGACCAGCCUGACGUACUAUGUGAUUGGCUAUGCACCUUCUUUUGUCAGAUUUAUCCAGCAGUUUUUGGUACUUUUUGCGACACAUCAAAUGUCAAUGGGCCUCUAUCGUUUCUUAGCAGCAAUAGGAAGAACACAAGUAAUGGCAAACAUGCUAAGCACCACAGCUCUUAUAGCAAUGUACAUAUUUGGAGGCUUUGUCAUAUCUAAAGAUAAUCUUCAACCAUGGUUGCAGUGGGGUUGUUGGACAUCCCCAUUCACCUAUGCACAAAAUGCCGUUGCCCUAAAUGAGUUCCUUGAUGAAAGAUGGGAUACUGAAUUUUACUAUGCAAAUGCAAAUACAAUUGGUGAAGCUAUCCUCAAGAUCAGGGGGUUGCUCACAAAUUGGCACCGGUAUUGGAUUUGUGUCAUCAUUUUAUUUGGAUUCUCUAUGGUCUUCAAUAUUCUCACUAUAUUUGCAUUGGAGUUCAUGCAGUCUCCACACAAGCAUCAAGUUAAUGCCAGUGCAAUGAAGUCAAAGAAGGAUUGCAAGAACCAUAUAAUUGGAACUGGCAAUGCAUCAACUAGUCAAGUUGUCCUCCCGUUUCAGCCUCUUUCCAUUAUAUUUGAUCAUGUCAACUAUUUUGUUGAUAUGCCUAAGGAGAUGAUUAAGUAUGGAGUACCAGAGGAAAAGCUUCAACUUCUACAAGAUGUAAGUGGUGUUUUUAGGCCAGGAGUAUUAACAGCUCUGAUGGGGAUCACUGGUGCUGGAAAGACAACAUUGCUCGAUGUUUUGGCUGGAAGAAAAACUGGAGGAUAUAUUGAAGGUACUAUUAUGAUAGAAGGAUACCCGAAGAAGCAGGAAACAUUCUCAAGGAUCUCGGGCUAUUGCGAACAAAAUGAUAUUCACUCCCCUAACCUAACUGUCCACGAGUCACUACAAUUCUCUGCAUGGCUUCGACUGCCUUCAAACGUGAAAUCUCGUGAAAGAGAUAUAUUUAUAGAUGAAGUAAUGGACCUAGUGGAAUUAACUGGAUUGAAGAAUGCCAUGGUGGGUAUGGCAGGAGCAACCGGCCUGUCAGCCGAGCAGCGGAAAAGGCUAACAAUAGCCGUGGAGCUGGUAGCUAGCCCUUCCAUCAUAUUUAUGGAUGAGCCGACCACUGGUUUGGAUGCCCGUGCUGCAGCAGUUGUCAUGCGAACAAUAAGAAAGACAGUAGACACUGGACGAACUGUUGUAUGCACAAUACAUCAGCCAAGCAUUGGGAUAUUUGAAUCUUUUGAUGAGCUUUUGCUUAUGAAAAGAGGCGGUCAAAUCAUAUAUAGUGGUUCAUUAGGUCCAUUGUCUAGCAACAUGAUCAAGUAUUUUGAGGCUAUACCUAGUGUUCCUAGAAUAAAAGAGGGACAAAACCCAGCAUCAUGGGUAUUGGACAUAAGUUCACACACAACAGAAUAUGAGAUUGGAGUGGACUACGCAGAAAUUUAUCGGAGCUCAUACCUAUACAGGGACAAUAUGCUUCUAAUGGCGGAGCUUGGGCACCCAGCACCAAACACAGAGGAUCUAUAUUUCCCCCCUGGGUACUGGCAUAAUUUUACGGCACAAUACAUGGCUUGCCUAUGGAAACAAAGAUGUGCAUACUGGAAAAACAUAGAACACAAUGGUGUUCGGUUUCUAAACACGUUCAUUGUAUCAAUUUUGUUUGGAGUUGUAUUCUGGAAAAUUGGCUCAACCAUAACACAACAACAGGAUGUAUUCAACAUACUAGGAGUUGUAUUUGGAUCAGCACUUUUCCUGGGAUUCAAUAAUUGCAUCAGUUUGCAGCCGAUUGUGAUAAUGGAGAGAGUUGUUCUUUACCGAGAAAAGGCGGCGGGUAUGUACUCUACCUUGGCCUACGCCAUAGCUCAGAUGGCAAUUGAAUUGCCUUACAUCAUAGUCCAAGUACUCGUUUUUGCCAUGAUCGUAUACCCAAUGAUUGGGUUCCAGAUGACCACCGUAAAGCUCUUUUGGUUUCUCCUUUACAUGAUGCUAAGCUUCAUGUAUUACACACUCUAUGGGAUGAUGACAGUGGCACUAACACCUAACCUUGAGAUGGCUUCCGGAUUGUCCUUCCUUAUCUACGUAUUUUGGAAUGUCUUCUCCGGUUUCAUCAUUGGAAGAGAGCUGAUCCCGAUAUGGUGGAGGUGGGUGUACUGGGCUAACCCAGCGGCAUGGACAGUAUACGGGCUCAUGUUCUCACAACUGGGUGAUCGGACAGAGCUGAUCCAUGUGCCAGGGCAACCAGACCAGACGGUGCAGGAGUUCCUGGAGGGCUACCUUGGCCUUGAGGGCCGCUACUUCAACCUUGUCACCUACCUACACUUGGUCGUCAUCGCCCUCUUUGCCUUACUCUUCUUCAUCUUCGUCAAGCACCUAAAGUUCGAGCGAAGGUAG